rnacentral:lncRNA from 1 species
GAAAGAUAUAGAUCUGACAUCACAUCUGAGCCUGCCUGAGGCUCCUGUGUGAGCUACUGCAAGUCACUCAGGAUACAUUUAUAUUGCACGCUCAGACACCCACCKGCCCAGGAAUCCGCAGCAGUGGAUCCAUGCACUGCCUACAUAAAAAUACGGACUAGUCUUAACAGGCAAGUGAUUACAGUGACAUUUGGGCCAAAGAGUUGGAAGGAAGAAGGUUGAUUUCUAGCUCUCUGCGGAGCAGUCUGGUUGUGCACCCUGGAGAGACUGAG